AGCUACUAGACUUGCGGGUUCGGUUGCUUAGUAGGCUACGACUACGCGUUGCUCCGGGCAAACGUCACAACUAUCGUCAGUUCAGGAGCUUAAAACUCAACAUUUUCUACUCCAAAAAAAGCCACGUCCGUUUCGCGCUGAAAACAAACAACCACUAAACCCGAGUUGGAGUUGGUCCUGCCAGCGACGAAGUUUCUGUUCCAAAAUUCGGCUGUACGCCUCGACAUGGAACACCCACAUUUACUACUAACCACCCCCCGCGAGAGAACAACAACACCGUUUUCGAGUUGUAACAGACGAAGGAAAAAAGAAGCCGAAGAAAAUGUAUGUAACACGCGCCUCCGCUAACGCCACCCGGAAGAGGCUACACGGCACGGCCGUUUGGGCCUGCAGUGGCGCAAGCAUUGUCAAAGCAGAUAAAGGUAAAUAGCACGAAAGCCGCCCCACACACACACGGCAAACGGCAAUCAAAACCCUUCCUUUUCUGCGGCUAUGCUUUCAGUUAUGCGCGUGCCGUUUGGUGCUAGAGGUCGUUAGUGCGAACCGAACCUGCUGGAGCGUUAGUUAUCAAUGAAAAAUGGAAAUGUGAGUGUACGGGCGAGGGCUGCAAACACGGUCCAUGGGGUUCUGGAAGGCAUUCCAGCACUACCCCGGUUCGGGACGGUCGAUCGAUUUGCCAACCCCACUUCCGGAAGGGUUCAUUGUUUGACUUGUGGACCUGUGGAAGAGAGAGAGAGUGUGGGGGGAACGCCAUUUACUCUGUUACAACUAGGAAAGGGGGAAGUUUCAUUGACGACUACAGUGAGCUCGGAACGACUGGCUGGCGAUGUAAUCAAAGGCUAGCAAUCGCCACACCACACCAUUCCGAGGGGGUUCGUCGUCUGUUACUUCUGCACGUUCGAUUAAAUCGAUUACUUCCUUCGGGAAAGGGAUAGAGCUGUCCAAGCUAAGGCCUGUUAAUGCUCCACUUUGGAGGUAAAAGUUUUCCCUCCAACACGAGUCAUUAAGAUUCGCCUUUAUAACGGUGUGGACCACCUUCCCCCCUCCAAAGCGCACCCAUCAACGGGUUGACAUUGAUCCAACAACUCCAGCACGCCGAAAAUCCAGGUUACUGGGGCCCCACAUUUUCGGCAGCACUUAAUCAUCCUACCAACAAGCCGGAUUUAACGGACUAAUCAUUUUAUUGCACCCGAGCCCGGGUAGAAACAGAUAAAUAAUAACAGCUACUCUGUGCGCCGCGCA